rnacentral:lncRNA from 1 species
CAGAUUUUGUCGAAUCUACAUUCGAUAAUGCAGCAAAUGAUUAAUUAGGUGGGCCAGAGGAAUUAGUAACUUUGUAGAGAUUUGUUAAGUAGUUUUUAGAUAGGAAUCAAUUGAGUGUUUGCGAGGACGCUGCACAGAUAGGAGUGGGGCUAUGUAGAAUAGAUAUUAAUUUGUUUUUGAAAGAUAUUAAAAAAAUAUAUUAAUAAUCCAUAUAAUAGAAAAUUCACGAGGAUGGAUGAUUGAUUUAGUUCUUAAAAGCAGUUAAUUACAGAAU